rnacentral:rRNA from 1 species
UACGUAGGGGGCAAGCGUUGUCCGGAAUCAUUGGGCGUAAAGCGCGUGUAGGCGGCCUUGUAAGUCCGUUCUGAAAGCCCGGGGCUCAACCCCGGGAGGCGGAUGGAUACUGCAAGGCUCGAGUACGGAAGAGGCGAGUGGAAUUCCCGGUGUAGCGGUGAAAUGCGCAGAUAUCGGGAGGAACACCAAUGGCGAAGGCAGCUCGCUGGGACGUUACUGACGCUGAGGAACGAAAGCCUGGGGAGCGAAAGGG